UUGUGGUCACAACACAUUGAAUCAUUGGUUCUCAUAUGAUCACUGAAGUUAAGCAACCUAGAGUCUGCUCAGUACCUAGAUGUCUAACCACUUGGGAAUACCAGAUGCUA